rnacentral:rRNA from 1 species
GAUGAACGCUGGCGGCGUGCCUAAUACAUGCAAGUCGAGCGAACGGACGAGAAGCUUGCUUCUCUGAUGUUAGCGGCGGACGGGUGAGUAACACGUGGAUAACCUACCUAUAAGACUGGGAUAACUUCGGGAAACCGGAGCUAAUACCGGAUAAUAUUUUGAACCGCAUGGUUCAAAAGUGAAAGACGGUCUUGCUGUCACUUAUAGAUGGAUCCGCGCUGCAUUAGCUAGUUGGUAAGGUAACGGCUUACCAAGGCAACGAUGCAUAGCCGACCUGAGAGGGUGAUCGGCCACAAUGGAACUGAGACACGGUCCAGACUCCUACGGGAGGCAGCAGUAGGGAAUCCGCCGCAAUGGGCGAAAGCCUGACGGAGCAACGCCGCGUGAGUGAUGAAGGUCUUCGGAUCGUAAAACUCUGUUAUUAGGGAAGAACAUAUGUGUAAGUAACUGUGCACAUCUUGACGGUACCUAAUCAGAAAGCCACGGCUAACUACGU